rnacentral:lncRNA from 1 species
GGCUCAACCCAUGUGGGCUAACCUGGUCCAAGCUUGGAUCGGCCAGACUUUUUUUGUCAACCCUAAACUUUUAGUUUCUAAAAAAUCUAUCGGUAAUCGGACUAACGAUUAUGAGGGAAAUGUAGGACUCAAAACCACAUUUCACAAUCCCAUUUUAAUGGUAGCAUUCACUUCCAUUUUAAUUUCAGGAUGCUUUUAAGCAAGUGAAUACUAUCAUUAAAUAUCAUUUCCUAUGUCGAUUGUCUAAAAUACAUAAUAAAAAUAAUUAUAUAGAACUUGUGAUAUUUUUAUCCAAUCAAUUCUUUUAUGCCGUGCAAGCCGCCAACUUGAUUUGAACAAAAGUGUUUAUAACCCAUUAUGCCGAUAUCGGAGCUGCAUACCGAGGGUCCGUCGCUUACUUGUCUGGAGUCAACAACGCAGCUUUCUCUUUAAGCUUAAUUUUAUUCUUUUUUCUUAAUUUUAUUCUUAAGUGUACCACCGAACCUUAGUUACCUUGAUCGGUUGGUACUUCAAGUACCGUAGACAAGUUCUAAGGUUCAAGGUCUGGUGAUGCAUGUAUAUUGAUCAUGUAAUUAAUUCUUCUUGAAUUAGAGGUAUUCUAAAAUACCUUCUUUUUGAGUUAAUAUAAUGUUUUUAUGUAUAAAGGUUCUCUUUAGUGUUAUUUUUUUAAAAUUUAAAGCUAUUUUUAUAACUAAUUGCCCCUAUUUGAAAUCAUAUUUUUAGAGAGGAUAGAGUUAGUUGCACUCUCAAAAAUUAUUUUAAAUACUUAAUUAUUAUGUACACUCGUCUAUUAAUUUAUAAAAAUAAGUUUCACUUCGUAAACACUCUUUAAAAGUAUGAUUUUCUGUCUGUUAUAGUAAUCUAGAUUGCAGGCAUUUUAGAAAUAAAAAUUAUAAUAAAAAAUAGAUUUAAUUGAGUAAUUUAUUAAGUUCAAAUUAUAAUAAAAAAGUGGUCAUCCCGCUUCAUUGUAGCUAUGCAACAGUGGCCAUUACAAUGUGGUUUGGUGCCGCAGCAACAGGUGCACGUGUUGCUCGGUUUUGCAAUCUAGCAGCAACCGCCCAUCGACAUGGUUGGCAAUAAUGUCUUUCCGAUGGUGCUAAGCGUGGUUGGUGGCAACGAUGAAUUCAUUUUGAUUAUCGCUAAUUGAAUAAUAUAUUAAAAAAAGUUAAUAACUUUUAAUUGUCUAAUUAUUUAUAAUUUUAAAUAAUCCGGAUUUAUGUUUUAGAAAUUUUCUCUCUUUGACUUUUAAGAAUUUUUCAUAAACAACACGGAGUACAAUGUUAAUAUUUAGAUUAGCACAUAUCAAUUGUUGAAAUUAUUUCUCCAUUACAUCGGACGACGGUAAUGGAUGAAGCCAAAAAAAAUAUAAAAUUGGUGAUACCUUACAAUAGCUGCAACGAAACUGUACCCUGCAAAUAUAUCAAACAGCCCACCCUAUAAAUUCAAAGUUCAAAAAUGCUAGUUUUCUUUAAACCACUAACUCAGGAGAUCCCUUAACAUGUAUUAUUCUUUUUUCGGCUGAAUUAAAAUGCUGGUGGUAUCCUCACUUUAAUAUCAAUAAAAAUUAAAAAAAAUCACAUAUUUUAAUACAUAAUAUAUAGAUACACACAUAGAUUUUAGUACUUCUAUUCUUUUAAUGAAAUUGAUAAUUGAUUGCUUCAUCCAUAACUAUGCUAUAAGAAGACAUUUUUUUUUUAAAUAUUACAUUAGAGAAUACAUCACAUUCACACCUAGUGAUAAAUACAAUUUAAUAUAUUUAUUGGGACUUAAAGUUAGUCCAAUACUCAUAUUAAAGUUGAAGUCCAAAUUUAAAAUUUGAAAACAAAGAAAGAAAUAAAUAAAUAAAAGUCACACACACACUCACCGAGGGACACUCGCACCGUCAACUCCAAAAAUGAUGUUAGGAAGUGUCGCAAUCAACACAACUAUAAGUUAUUAACUUAUUGGCAUAUUAUAAGGAGCUAUUAACUCAACUAUAAGCUAUUAAUUUAUUGACGGAGCCCAUACACUGUUUAUGGAUAUGGGUGUAAGUUACAUGAAUUGUAACUUAGUGUUUGUCAUAUUAUAAUUCUUUGGUUCAUUUAUUUUGAAAUUUUAUUUAAUUUUUAAAGAAUAUUACCCAUAAAUUUUGCCUAUAGAUUUCCUUUAUUUUUAAUACAUAUAAGGGUGAGGUUUUUUGUACCCCUAAAACUACUUUGUAAACCCAUAUUUUAAGUAGAACUUUUUGAUAUGCUUAUUUAUAACUUAUAUGUUAUUUUAA